AGAACGAACGCUGGCGGCAGGCCUCAAACAUGCAAGUCUAGGGGGUGUAGCAAUACAUCACCGGCGGACGGGUGCGUAACACGUGGGAAUAUACCUUUUGGUUCGGAACAACGCAGGGAAACUUGCGCUAAUACCGAAUGUGCCCUUACGGGGAAAGAUUUAUCGCCAAAGGAUUAGCCCGCGUAGGAUUAGCUAGUUGGUGAGGUAAUGGCUCACCAAGGCUCCGAUCCUUAGCUGUUCUGAGAGGAAGAUCAGCCACACUGGGACUGAGACACGGCCCAGACUCCUACGGGAGGCAGCAGUUGGGAAUCUUGGACAAUGGGGGAAACCCUGAUCCAGCCAUGCCGCGUGAGUGAUGAAGGCCUUCGGGUUGUAAAACUCUUUCGACGGGGACGAUAAUGACGGUACCGUAGAAGAAGCUCCGGCUAACUUCGCGCCAGCAGCCGC
rnacentral:rRNA from 1 species